rnacentral:rRNA from 1 species
GCUUGUCUCAAAGAUUAAGCCAUGCAUGUCUAAGUAUAAGCCUUUAUAUGGUGAGACUGCGAAUGGCUCAUUAAAUCAGAAACUGUUUAUUUGAUAGUGCCUACUACAUGGAUACCUGUAGUAAUUCUAGAGCUAAUACAUGCUAAGACCGUAAGGUUGUAUUUAUUAGAUAUACCGAGUAGGUGAAUCAUAAUAACUUCGCAAAUCGCAGUAAUACUGCGAUAAAUCAUUCAAGUUUCUGCCCUAUCAUGCUCUCGAUGGUAGUGUAUUGGACUACCAUGGCUCUCACGGGUAACGGGGAAUUAGGGUUCGAUUCCGGAGAAGGAGCCUGAGAAACGGCUACUACAUCUAAGGAAGGCAGCAGG